CCUGAAGCAUUUAUUACAUAAGGGAACAUGAUAAAGUUUACAUGCAUAAAUUCAUAGAUAAUGUCAUCUAUGCCUCGCUGAAAUUAACACAUUACAGUUAGCUUACACUUCAAAAUAAAAAGGGAAAUAGUAAGAAAACAAUACAGUUAGCAUUACAUUAUUCACCAUUCGCUUGGAAAAUGCAAUGAGAACACACACACACAAAUCAGUAUUUGUAGACCUGCCUUUGUAAUUUAAAAUGUUAAUGAAAUGUAAAUUUUUUCUGUACAAAAUUCAUGAAUGUUCAUCUCUAGGCUGCAUUGUGUCCAACCUUGUUGGAGUCCUUUUAAAAUUUUAUUAGUACCAAAAGUCCCUCACUGUCCAUUUCUUCUCCAUCUCACCACCACCAGAGAAAAUACUUUUGACAAUCACAAUUAGAAUGUGGCAGUAAAACAUAAAAUAAUUUUAAUUCAGAAAACAACACACCCCUUGGGUGUGUUUUUUUUUUUUUUUUUUUUGGUAACAAAAUCAAGUUUUUGGGUUCCAAGCUAUUCAUCAUGAAGAGAAUGUGUUUAAUCUGAUGUGAAGUUGGCUACCCAGCAGUCUAGUCAGGCUGUAGAAUGUUUAACUCAGGGUCUGGUAGGCUGCCAGCCAUUCUAAAUGUUUUCACACGGACCAACAAUAAAUAAUUAAAUGUUUAAGUCACAGUUCUCAGGUUGGGCAGCAGAUAGAGCUAGAAUUUCUUCACUUAGGGAGAUAAGCAAUUUUGCAAAUUUUUUUACCUUUAGAUACUCUAGGCACAGGGGAUAAUCUUUCAGUUGCAAAGAAUCGAUUUUCAUAAUGCUUUCUGGAUUUCAAAUGAUAGUUUUAGGAUUUUUUUUUUAAUAGCUAAGUAUGUAAAACAGAAGAUUCUACUUAUAGUAUUUACUGCAAAAAAGACCUCACAUGACUCUGUCACUAACAAUAUGAGCAUAAAUAAACGAGAAACUCCUUAGGUCAUUAUAAGGUUAGAGGUGGGAGGGAUGACAUUAUAAUUGAGAAAAAUCUUUCUACAUAUAUAUAUGUUCCCCUUCCAAUUACAACUGGGGAGGGGGGCACAGUCAAGUGCAUUUGAAAAAACAAAAGCAAAAGCUGCCAAGGUGACUUCAAGGCACGGCCCCACUAGGCACUGGGGUUUCUUCCGGCUCUGAGAGUCUUUUUUAAAAAUGGCCUUGUGCUAUAUGGCUAAAGAGCAAGACUAGUGCUGGCAGAACAGGAAAAGAUAGUGCUUUCCUACACACAUACUUUCUGCAAAGCUCUGUUUCCUGGUACAGCCUAAUUAUUGAUGGUUUUGACAGUAUUUAAAUGCAGACUAUAUAUUUAUAGAUUACCUAACUCAUCUUUUCUCUCAGCAGUAGAUAAAAGAAAUACUGAUCAGACCAUCUGGGAAGAAUGGUUGAUUUCUUACACUGGCAUUCUUACAAAAAUACCUUGCAGUAGGUAGAGUAAGUUACAAACAGAAGACUAGGAAGAGCUGGCUUUUCAGAGUUUAUAAAUCUUAAAUACCUCUGAUAAAUUUUACCUAUCUUUGGAAAACAGUUUAAUUAGCUUUUGUUAGAGGUCUGAUGCUCAUGAGCAUCAAACUUAUUGCCUAUUUUUAUGUACAUCAACAGAAGACAUUUGCCUACCUCUUAGGUUUCAAUAGAUUAAUUCCAAUUUGGAAAAAAAAAAAAAAAAGCUCUCAAUAUAGAGUACAAAAAUAUUUGUUUGAUGUUAUAUUACCUUUUACCUAUAAUACAAUUUUUUAAAUUUAACAUUAUAGCAUGAAAGAAUUAUAUUAUUAAUAUAGAAAUCAUUGACAAACACACCUCCAAAAUACCAGGCUGAAAUAUAAAUGCCUACCUGUAUGUUUUGACUUUAGUCUUUGAGCUGUAGUUAAGAACUUUUAAAAGCUUUAAAAAAUUACAGGGAAAUAAAACCCCAGAAGUACAAGUACACCAAGAUUUUGGGAUAUAAGACAUAUUUCUUACCACAUUUAGUCUGGAAACUGGGAUUUUAACCAUGAAGCACAGUAUUUGACAAGCAUCUUUUGGGGGAAAAACUCUGAGACACUAAAUAUAGGAAUGAUAGAUUUUCUUUUCAGAUGUUUUUAUGUUUUAUGUUUUUAUUUCCCUAUGAUAAGGGAAUGCCUCUGCAAUUUAUGCUUCUUGCCCAGAUCAUACAACAUUAAAGGACUGAUAAUUUAGACUUUCUUUUGCUGAGUAAUUAAUAAGUUAUUUUGACAGAAAGAAUCAUUUUCAUCUCUAAAUAAUGCAGGCUUGUUCUUUUAACACUUGAGAUGCUUAUUUCCUCAGAUAAGUGCAGAAAUUUUUUUCAUAAUUUUUAAUAUGUCAUUUUUGACAUUUCUAUUAAAGUGACUAAAAAUUCUUCAGGCUCUACCAAUGCAGUAUUUAUGCUUUGAUUAAAAAAACAAACAAAAGCAUAAAGGUUAACACCAGCCUGACUGAACAAUGUAGCCCACUAAAGGGGUAUGGCUGUGCCAUAAAGCAGGUAUUCUUUUUUUUUUUUUUUUUUUUUUUGCUAUUUCUUUGGGCCGCUCCCGCAGCAUAUGGAGGUUACCAGGCUAGGGGUUGAAUCGGAGCUGUAGCCGCCAGCGGCUACAGCUCGAUUAGACCCAUUGCCUGGGAACCUCCAUAGGCCAUGGGAGCGACCCUAGAAAAAGGCAAAACAAACAAAAAAAAUUUUUGGAGGGAAAAAAAGGUAGUCCAAUUAUAAAGCAAGUUCAUGAACACAAUAGUAAAAAAUUUUCUUUAAUAAGUUAAUUGCUAAUACUUCCUAAAUAAUAUUCACAAUUUCAAAUAUUUUAUUCCCAGUUGUUACUAUUUUUUUUGCCACACCCACAGCAUGCAAAAGUUCUGGAGCCAGAGACUGAACCCAUGCCACAGCAAUGACCCAAGACACUGCAGUGACAACACCAGAUCCUUUAACCCACUGGGCUGGGCCAGAAAUAGAACCUGCAUUUCCAAAGCAACCAGAGCUGCUGCAGUAGGAUUCUUAACCCACUGUGCUACAUCGGGAACUCCCCUAGAUAUGUGUACAGGUCAUGGCUACAGAAGAAAUAUGUGUGUGUGUGUGCAUGCACGCGUGUGUUCAUUCACAUAGUCAUUUCAACAGACAUUAAGUUUGGUCAUUUUCCUUUAAAGUGAUUUGAUUACUAAAUUCCAGAAUCCCUUUCCCAACUUCACCUAAAUUGGCUUAAAAUUUUAUAUAGUCUUUAGAGAUCAAAUGAAUUAACCUGUAUCUCAGUUCUGAGUAUGGAAUCAUGUUUGAAGUCAUAUGUUACAACGAACUCACUUAAGAACAGCAAAAACUCAGGCAAAGCAAAGAAGCCAAAUUAAAAAAAAAAGAAAAAAUCCUCUUGAUUUGUUUACUAGAAAAAAAAAAAAACUGAAAAAAACAAAAAACCAUGUCAAUGAAGACUUCCCUUUACAAGACUAAAUACACUGCAACUGGAGUUCUCUUGUGGCUCAGUAGGUUAAGGAUCUACGCCUGUCACCGCAGCUGCUCAAGUUGCUGCUGUGGUGCAGGUUUGAAACUUCCACACGCUGUGGGUGCAGCCAAAAAAUUUAAAAAUAAAAAUAACAAAAUACACUGCAACCAACACUGGAACAAAAACCAAGCCACCUUGAGUACAUAUUUCUUCACAUUAUAAAAGCUACUAAGUUUUUACCUAACCAAAAGAAAAAUCUCAUCUUAACAGAAACAGGAGACUUUCGUUUGCCAAUGGCUCUAAUUUCUUAAUAAUGAAAGAAAAAAAAAAUACAUAAUUUAAAAAUUCAACUGUAUAUUUUAUCAAAAUUAUUUUCAUUUUUGUUAAUGUUACUAAAGUUGGUUGGAGGUAAUUAGAAUUACCUAAAAGCAUAUAUAGGGACCCUGAUCUUGGGUCUGUAUAAAUGCUUACCGAUCAAAAAUUUCUGAUGAGUUAUUUUAUUUGAAAACUAUUCCUAAACUAUUUAGGAACAAAUGCCUAAAAUCCUUUAUUUGGUUCUUUUUAAAUUGUUUAUCACACUUAAAUUACAAAAGAUAAAUAGAAGAAUACUGUAUUCAAGGUAAUCUUCCACUAUCUUCUCAAAGGACAUUACAUAGCAGAGAAAAACUCUAUCUAGACUAAUACUUUUUAAAAAUAAUAUCCAUUGCAAUACAGAAGACAUCUAUAAAGGGAGCAUAAAACUGUGUACAAUUCCUGGCCACUGUGUAACUUUCCCCUUUGUAAGUCAAAGUGUAUGACAACAAUGCAAUUAUUUCUCUCAGCCAGUAGAUUUCAGCAUAUUGCUUUCCAACCAUGUCUAUAUACCUUCUUGCUUCCCCUGCCAGUUUCACAAUGCUUAACUCUUCUGAGAGGUCAAAAUGUCAUUAGCUCUAAAAAACGUAAAAAGAAAUAGAGACUUUAAAAAGGCUUUGAAAACUUGAGUUAAACUCUUUUUAUGAAUAUUUCAUGGCAAUGCAAUGAGAUUGUAGUAACUACCUAAUAAGCUGCUAUUAGAAGAAGGAAGAAAAAGUGAUCUUUUAUUUAGUACAAAAGAUUUCUUGAGGAACUAGAAUGUGCUUUUCUUCUAAAACAGUUUAAAUCUAACAGCACUGGGAGUUCCCUGGUGGUCUAGUAGCUAGGAUUUGGCAUUUUCACCAUGGCCUGGGUUCAAUA
rnacentral:lncRNA from 1 species